GGCGGACGGGUUAGUAACGCGUGGGAACAUACCCUUUGGUACGGAAUAGCCUCUGGAAACGGAGAGUAAUACCGUAUGAGCCCUUCGGGGGAAAGAUUUAUCGCCAAAGGAUUGGCCCGCGUUAGAUUAGGUAGUUGGUGGGGUAAUGGCCUACCAAGCCUACGAUCUAUAGCUGGUUUUAGAGGAUGAUCAGCAACACUGGGACUGAGACACGGCCCAGACUCCUACGGGAGGCAGCAGUGGGGAAUCUUGGACAAUGGGGGCAACCCUGAUCCAGCCAUGCCGCGUGAGUGAUGAAGGCCUUAGGGUCGUAAAGCUCUUUCGCCUGUGAAGAUAAUGACGGUAGCAGGUAAAGAAACCCCGGCUAACUCCGUGCCAGCAGCCGCGGUAAUACGGAGGGGGUUAGCGUUGUUCGGAAUUACUGGGCGUAAAGCGCACGUAGGCGGACUGGAAAGUUGGGGGUGAAAUCCCAGGGCUCAACCCUGGAACUGCCUCCAAAACUAUCAGUCUAGAGUUCGAGAGAGGUGAGUGGAAUUCCGAGUGUAGAGGUGAAAUUCGUAGAUAUUCGGAGGAACACCAGUGGCGAAGGCG
rnacentral:rRNA from 1 species